GAUGAACGCUGGCGGCGUGCCUAAUACAUGCCAGUCGAGCGAACGGACGAGAAGCUUGCUUCUCUGAUGUUAGCGGCGGACGGGUGAGUAACACGUGGAUAACCUACCUAUAAGACUGGGAUAACUUCGGGAAACCGGAGCUAAUACCGGAUAAUAUUUUGAACCGCAUGGUUCAAAAGUGAAAGGCGGUCUUGCUGUCACUUAUAGAUGGAUCCGCGCUGCAUUAGCUAGUUGGUAAGGUAACGGCUUACCAAGGCAACGAUGCAUAGCCGACCUGAGAGGGUGAUCGGCCACACUAGAACUGAGACACGGUCCAGACUCCUACGGGAGGCAGCAGUAGGGAAUCUUCCGCAAUGGGCGAAAGCCUGACGGAGCAACGCCGCGUGAGUGAUGAAGGUCUUCGGAUCGUAAAACUCUGUUAUUAGGGAAGAACAUAUGUGUAAGUAACUGUGCACAUCUUGACGGUACCUAAUCAGAAAGCCACGGCUAACUACGUG
rnacentral:rRNA from 1 species